rnacentral:rRNA from 1 species
UUGCAGUUAAAAAGCUCGUAGUUGAAUUUCUAGCCGACAUGCGUGGUCCGGUGCACCUAGUGUUACUGAGUACCGCAGCGUGUCGUCUAUCCUAUCAGUUUGUCUGGGCUCCGGUUCAGGCUGGCUGGUUCUUUUACUUUGAAAAAAUUAGAGUGUUUAAAGCAGGCUUGCGCAAUGAAUACAUUAGCAUGGAAUAAUAACAUAGGACUUCGGUCUCUAUUUUGUUGGUUUCUGGAACUGAAGUAAUGAUUGAUAGGGAUAGUUGGGGGUGCUAGUAUUGAGCGGCCAGAGGUGAAAUUCUUGGAUUCGCUCAAGACUAACUUAUGCGAAAGCAUUCACCAAGGAUGUCUUCUUUAAUCAAGAACGAAAGUUGGGGGAUCGAAGACGAUCAGAUACCGUCGUAGUCUCAACCAUAAACUAUACCGACUAAGGAUGAGUGACCGUUGCAUUUUCGACUUCAUUCGCACUUUAUGAGAAAUCAAAGUCUUUGGGUUCCGGGGGGAGUAUGGUCGCAAGGCUGAAACUUAAAGGAAUUGACGGAAGGGCACCACC